rnacentral:rRNA from 1 species
GUCUGCAGAUAGCUGCGCCGGCCUUUUACUUUGAGAAAAAUAAAGUUCUUCCAAGCAGGCGUACGUCAUGGAUAUGUGAGCAUGGAAUAAUCAUAUAUGCCUCGGCUCAGAUUUUGUUGGUUUCCAUUGCUGAGGUAAAGGGUUGUAGGGCCAGAGGGGGGCACUCGCAUUUAACUGUCAGAGGUGAAAUUCUUGGAUUUGUUAAAGACGGCCCAGUGCGAAAGCAUUUGCCAAGAAUGUUCUCGUUGAUCAAGAACGAAAGUUAGGGGAUCGAAGAUGAUCAGAUACCAUCCUAGUCUUAACCAUAAACGAUGCCUACUAGAGAUCGGAGGUUGUUCAAUUUGCGACGCCUUCAGCAUCCUAUGAGAAAUCGAAGUCUUUGGGUUCUGGGGUGAGUAUGGUCGCAAGGCUGAAACUUAAAGGAAUUGACGGAAGGGCACCACCAGGAGUGGAGCCUGCGGCUUAAUUUGACUCAACGCGGGGAAACUUACUAGGUCCAGACACAGUAAGGAUUGACAGACUGAUAGAUCUUUCGUGAUCUUGUGGGUGGUGGUGCAUGGCCGUUCUUAGUUGGUGGAGUGAUUUGUCUGGUUAAUUCCGUUCACGAACGAGACCUCAACUCACUAAUUAGCCACGCCAAUCUUAGGAUAGGUGGGGUGCUUCUUAGAGGGACUUUGUGCUUCUAGUACAAGGAAGAUUGAGGCAAUAACAGGUCUGUGAUGCCCUUAGAUGUUCUGGGCUGCACGCGCGCGACACUGAUUCAUCCAUCGAGUUUGCGCCUUGCCCUAUAUGGUCGGGCACUCUUCUGAAACUGCAUCGUGUUGGGGAUAGAUUAUUGCAAUUAUUAAUCUUGAACGAGGAAUUCCUAGUAGGCGCGAGUCAUCAACUCGUGCUGAUUAUGUCCCUGCCCUUUGUACACACCGCCCGUCGCUCCUACCGAUUGAGUGCUCCUGUGAACAAUUUGGAUUGCGGCAGUCUCCAGUAUUGGCACCUGCUGUAGGAAGAUUUGUGAAUGCAAC